rnacentral:rRNA from 1 species
CUACGGGCGGCUCCAGUGGGGAAUAUUGGACAAUGGGGGAAACCCUGAUCCAGCAAUGCCGCGUGUGUGAAGAAGGCCUGCGGGUUGUAAAGCACUUUCGGUUGGGAGGACUGCUUCUAGCACUAAUAUUGUUGGAAGUUGACGUUACCUUCAGAAGAAGCACCGGCUAACUCCGUGCCAGCAGCCGCAGUAAUACGGAGGGUGCAAGCGUUAAUCGGAAUUACUGGGCGUAAAGCGCGCGUAGGCGGCUAGAUCAGUCGGGUGUGAAAGCCCCGGGCUUAACCUGGGAACUGCGUCCGAUACUGUCUAGCUUGAGUACAGGAGAGGAGAGUGGAAUUCCACAUGUAGCGGUGAAAUGCGUAGAUAUGUGGAGGAACACCAAUGGCGAAGGCAGCUCUCUGGCCUGAUACUGACGCUGAGGUGCGAAAGCGUGGGGAGCAAACAGGAUUAGAUACCCCAGUAGUC